CACGUAGGGGGCAAGCGUUGUCCGGAUUUAUUGGGCGUAAAGAGCUCGUAGGCGGCUCGGUAAGUCGGGUGUGAAAUUUCGAGGCUCAACCUCGAAACGCCACCCGAUACUGCUGUGGCUAGAGUCCGGUAGGGGAGCGUGGAAUUCCUGGUGUAGCGGUGAAAUGCGCAGAUAUCAGGAGGAACACCAGCGGCGAAGGCGGCGCUCUGGGCCGGUACUGACGCUGAGGAGCGAAAGCGUGGGGAUCAAACAGG
rnacentral:rRNA from 1 species